rnacentral:rRNA from 1 species
AGGAUUAACGCUGGCGGCGUGCCUAACACAUGCAAGUCGAACGAGGUAGCAAUACCUAGUGGCAGACGGGUGAGUAGCGCGUGGUCAACCUACCGUUGAGUGGGGGAUAACUAGCCGAAAGGUUAGCUAAUACCGCAUACGUCUCCGAGGGGCAUCCCUUGGCGAUAAAAGGAGCAAUCCGCUCGAUGACGGGACCGCGUCCCAUUAGCUAGUUGGUGGGGUAACGGCCUACCAAGGCAUCGAUGGGUAGCUGGUUUGAGAGAGCGACCAGCCACACUGGGACUGAGAUACGGCCCAGACUCCUACGGGAGGCAGCAGUGAGGAAUUUUCCGCAAUGGGCGAAAGCCUGACGGAGCGACGCCGCGUGUGGGAAGAAGGCCUUCGGGUCGUAAACCGACUGUCGAAGGGGAAGAUAAUGACGGUACCCUUGGAGGAAGCCCCGGCUAACUACGUGCCAGCAGCCGC